rnacentral:rRNA from 1 species
GACGAACGCUGGCGGCGCGCCUAACACAUGCAAGUCGAACGGAGCUUAGAGAGCUUGCUUUUUAAGCUUAGUGGCGAACGGGUGAGUAACGCGUGAGUAACCUGCCCUAGAGUGGGGGACAACAGUUGGAAACGACUGCUAAUACCGCGUAGAAUCGAGAGAUGAAAGUGUGGGACCUUCGGGCCACAUGCCAUAGGAUGAGCCCAAGUGGGAUUAGGUAGUUGGUGAGGUAAAGGCUCACCAAGCCGACGAUCUCUAGCUGGUCUGAGAGGAUGACCAGCCACACUGGGACUGAGACACGGCCCAGACUCCUACGGGAGGCAGCAGUGGGGAAUAUUGCGCAAUGGGGGCAACCCUGACGCAGCCAUGCCGCGUGAAUGAAGAAGGCCUCGGUUGUAAGUUCUUCGGUUAGGUCGAGGAAGGGACGAUUUAGUUUAAUAG